rnacentral:lncRNA from 1 species
ACCCUCCGGACAUCGGAUUCAAGAGGUACAGCACAGACAGUGAGACAGUUCCCCGCCACUUUGCUUGAGUGUCGUGGACGUCGAGAGCUCGAGCCUGUCAGGCUGCUCCAGGUCAUGAGGACCCCCCCCCACUGGUUCCUCCGAUAAAGAUCAGGGGGAACCAGAGAGUGAUGAGAAGGAGGAUCAAGCAAACUCUGAUUCCGAUGAGGGUGGCAUGUCCCCCGAUGAAGGGUUGGACACCAACAGCCAACCAGUCUACAAAAAGAUCUGUUUCAGUUCAUUACCAUCAGCUGGACAUUGGUGAUAACAAGCAGGUUACUGGAGAAGAGUCAGAAGUGGAUACCGCUUCAUCACCCUCGUCUCGGGGAAAGAGACUCAAUUUCCAUAAAAAUGCUUA